CUCAUGGUUUCACGGUAUUGCAAUGAGAACAAUUUAAAACCCUUAGCGAGAAUCAGGUGGAGGACAAGUCUGGUGCCAGCACCCGCGGUAAUUCCAGCUCCACUAGCGUAUAUUAAAGUUGUUGCAGUUAAAAAGCUCGUAGUUGAACCUCUGUCUGGGGCUAGUUUUGGCUUUGGUCAGGCUAGUUCUAGGCAUCCGCCUACAAGACUUAGAGGGCAUUCAGUUGUUCACUAGGAGGAGUAGGCAUUUUACUUUGAAAAAAUUAGAGUGUUUAAGGCAGGCAAUCGCCCGCAUAUAUUAGCAUGGAAUAAUAGAAUAGGACACUUUUCCAUUUCGUUGGUUAUUGGAAUCGUGUAAUGAUUAAUAGGGACAGUUGUGGGCAUUUGUAUUUAAUUGUCAGAGGUGAAAUUCUUGGAUUUAUUAAGACAAACUAACGCGAAAGCAUUUGCCAAGGAUGUUUUCAUUAAUCAAGAACGAAAGUUAGGGGAUCAAAGACGAUCAGACACCGUCCUAGUCUUAACUAUAAACUAUUCCGACUCAAUGUUUGACUGGCUUAUAUAACCAGUUGAGCGUUGUAUGAGAAAUCAAAGUCUUUAGGUUCUGGGGGGAGUAUGGUUGCAAAGCUGAAACUUAAAGGAAUUGACGGAAGAGCACAACCAGGAGUGGAUUCUGCGGCUUAAUUUGACUCAACACGGGGAAACUUACCAGGUUAAAACAAUAGUGGGAUUGACAGUUUGAGAGCGCUUUCUUGAUUGGUUGGGUGGUGGUGCAUGGCCGUUCUUAGUUGGUGGAGUGAUUUGUCUGCUUAAUUGCGUUAACGAACGAGACCUUAACCUGCUUACUAGACUGGCGAUCAUCAAUCGUUAGCUCUUCUUAGAGGGACUUUGGUUGUUUUAACUCCAAGGAAGUUUGAGGCAAUAACAGGUCUGUGAUGCCCUUAGAUAUCCUGGGCCGCACGCGUCAUACAAUGACUAGUUCAGAAAGUUUUCUCCUGACCCGAAAGGGGAUGGGUAAUCUUGAUAGUACUAGUCGUGUUAGGGAUCGAUCUUUGCAAUUAUAGAUCUUGAACGAGGAAUUCCUAGUAAGUGCGGUUCAUCAGACCGUACUGAUUACGUCCCUGCUCUUUGUACACACCGCCCGUCGCUUCUACCGAGUGGGUGGUCCGGUGAGAUAAUUGAACUUCGCAGGUAACUGAGAGGAAAGAUUAUCAAACCUAUCCACCU
rnacentral:rRNA from 1 species